rnacentral:misc_RNA from 1 species
GAUUAUUCUGUUUGCGUUCUUGAUUUUUGUCUGUGGUAGCGGAGAAUGUCUGGACCAUUGGAUCGAUUCGCUAGACCAUGCUUUGAAGGGUUCUCUGGUAGUGAUGAAAGAAAAGAAAGGAAAUCUGAUUUUGAAAAUUCGGAGGAUGAAAGGAGGACUAGAAUUGGGUCUAUAAAGAAGAAAGCUCUAAAUGCAUCUUCCAAAUUUAAACAUUCCCUCAAGAAGAAGAGCAGCAGGAGAAAAAGUGAUGGUCG